rnacentral:rRNA from 1 species
GACGAACGCUGGCGGCGUGCUUAACACAUGCAAGUCGAACGGAAAGGCCUGCUUUCCCUUGUGGAUUGCGGGUACUCGAGUGGCGAACGGGUGAGUAACACGUGAGUGAUCUGCCCCCAACUUGGGUAUAAGGCUGGGAAACUGGGUCUAAUUCCCGAUAGGACUGCAGGGUGGUGCCUGUGGUGGAAAACGAUUUUCUAGUGGUUGGGGAUGAGCUCGCGGCCUAUCAGCUUGUUGGUGGGGUAAUGGCCUACCAAGGCGGCGACGGGUAGCCGGCCUGAGAGGGUGGACGGCCACAUUGGGACUGAGAUACGGCCCAGACUCCUACGGGAGGCAGCAGUGGGGAAUAUUGCACAAUGGGCGGAAGCCUGAUGCAGCGACGCCGCGUGGGGGAUGACGGCCUUCGGGUUGUAAACUCCUUUCGACCGCGAGGAAGCCACCUGGUUGGAAGGGUGGUGACGGUAGUGGUAGAAGAAGCACCGGCUAACUACGUG